rnacentral:rRNA from 1 species
AGUUUGAUCAUGGCUCAGGAGCGUACGCUGGCGGCAGGCCUAACACAUGCAAGUCGAACGGAUCCUUCGGGAUUAGUGGCGGACGGGUGAGUAACACGUGGGAACGUGCCUUUUGGUUCGGAACAACUCAGGGAAACUUGAGCUAAUACCGAAUGAGCCCUUCGGGGGAAAGAUUUAUCGCCAUUAGAGCGGCCCGCGUCUGAUUAGCUAGUUGGUGAGGUAAAGGCUCACCAAGGCUACGAUCAGUAGCUGGUCUGAGAGGAUGAUCAGCCACAUUGGGACUGAGACACGGCCCAAACUCCUACGGGAGGCAGCAGUGGGGAAUCUUGCGCAAUGGGCGAAAGCCUGACGCAGCCAUGCCGCGUGAAUGAUGAAGGUCUUAGGAUUGUAAAAUUCUUUCACCGGGGACGAUAAUGACGGUACCCGGAGAAGAAGCCCCGGCUAACUUCGUG